GGACCGCGCGCACAGCCCGCACCGCCCCACGCCGCGGGCUAGGGACACCCGGCCCGCCACCAUGACUUCCAGCAAGAUAGAGAUGCCCGGAGAGGUGAAGGCCGACCCCGCCGCCCUCAUGGCGUCCUUGCACCUCCUGCCGUCGCCCACGCCCAACCUCGAAAUCAAGUACACCAAGAUCUUUAUAAACAACGAGUGGCAGAACUCAGAGAGUGGGAGAGUGUUCCCUGUCUAUAAUCCAGCCACAGGAGAACAGGUGUGUGAAGUUGAAGAAGCAGACAAGGCAGAUAUAGACAAAGCAGUGCAGGCAGCCCGCCUGGCUUUCUCUCUUGGUUCAGUGUGGAGAAGGAUGGAUGCUUCAGAAAGAGGACGUCUGUUGGAUAAGCUUGCAGACUUGGUGGAACGGGACAGGGCAGUUCUUGCAGUCUCUUAUCCUACCACACCUAAAACACUCUCAAGCUGUGAGA
rnacentral:sRNA from 1 species